ACAAAGCACAACACACAUUGUGACUGCACAAGUCACGAUAUGUCUGUCGUGCGGACCAUACUGUUUUUGGGUAUAAUAACCCAUGGCAUUUUAGCAACAGAGGAAGACAAAGAAGUGUACAGAGCUAUAGUGGAGAGCUGUGGUGGAUGACGUUUAAACAGGCUGCCAGAGGUUAAGAGGUUCAUUUAUGAGGAUCUCCCUCUGUUUCAUAAUGUAGAGUUUAAGAAGGUUGGAGGAGCUCCCCCCGAGUUGAUCCUCAUAGGGAAAGGUGGAGAGGAACUAGAGAGGAUUGAGUUGGAGCACAAGAACCGUGAAGAAUGCAACCAGUUAUUGACUCAGAGAGGGUUUUAUAAGAAGUCAGAAGCCAGUGAAGAAGUCCCAGAAGAGUUUAGACAGGGUCCCUACAAACUUAAGGAAGAGCUUUAAUUAUGAAAAUAUAAGUUUUAUUAAUCUGUGCCAUUUUUGUAGAAAACACAACAGCAAUAUUUUUUUUCUCAUGUUUGGAAGAUUUUCUUGAAACAAUAUAUGUAAAUGUAUAUUGCUUUUAGUGCAUUAUUAAAUUUAAUUUUCAUAAACAAAUACAUGUAAAUGUAUGAUUUUUUUUUUAAAUGUCAGAGAAUUUUAUUUAUUUUGAAAUUUGAAUUCAUUUUUAAAUAACAAAUAACUUUGCUAUUUUAUACAAGUCACAAAUGGCAAUAUUUUUUACUAUAGAUUACCGAGGUCCAUUUUUUUCCUCUUUUUUUUUAUUAAAAAUUUAUAUUUAAAUAUUAUACAUACCCAGAUCAUUUUUUUUUUUUUUAGAAAUGCUUUCAUAGAGAUAUCUCUUCAAAUAUAUUAUUUUUUGAGUAUAUCAAAGUAAAAAUUGUUUUAAGAUAUUCAGUGAAAAAAAACACUAUGCAUGUUGACAGAAUACUGUAAAUAUACUGUAUCUUGUGUCAUAGCUUUGCUAUAAAUGGAUUGAACUAGUUUUAAAGACGAGAUAUCUUCUUUGAAUUUCAAACAGAGACAAGAUUUUAUGAAGUCUUUGACCAAAACUUGUGCGGUCUCUGAUGGAACCUCAACUUUCUCGGUUUAGAAGUUCAAUGAUUUUGAUAUCUAGUUUUUAAACUCAUUAGUUCAACAUAUUGUGAUACCAAAUUUUAUCCUUUAAUUUUGAAAUAAAGAUUUUACCGUUU
rnacentral:misc_RNA from 1 species